rnacentral:rRNA from 1 species
UACGUAGGGGGCGAGCGUUGUCCGGAGUUACUGGGCGUAAAGGGCACGCAGGCGGUGCGGCGCGUUUCGCGUGACAGCGGAGGGCUUAACUCUCCGAGGAUGCGAAAGACGGCGGCACUUGAGGGCCAGAGAGGGACACGGAAUUCCGGGUGGAGUGGUGAAAUGCGUAGAGAUCCGGAGGAACACCGAAGGCGAAGGCAGUGUCCUGGCUGGUGACUGACGCUGAGGUGCGAAAGCUAGGGGAGCAAACGGG